rnacentral:rRNA from 1 species
UACAGAGGUCCCAAGCGUUGUUCGGAUUCACUGGGCGUAAAGGGUGCGUAGGUGGUGAGGUAAGUCGGAUGUGAAAUCUCCGAGCUCAACUCGGAAACUGCAUUGGAAACUACCUUGCUCGAGGGUUGGAGGGGGGACUGGAAUGCUUGGUGUAGCAGUGAAAUGCGUAGAUAUCAAGCGGAACACCAGUGGCGAAGGCGAGUCCCUGGACAACUCCUGACACUGAGGCACGAAAGCUAGGGGGAGCAAACAGG